GGGCGGCCGCAGGGGCCGGGCUGCGCAGCGGCUGCCCCGGCGGGGCGGGCCGGCGAGGGGGGAGCCCGGCGACUGUGCCGCGAAGGCGACCGAGAGCCUGGCGAGGGGUGCAGCCGGGCAAAGUCACUGUGGACGCGCGGCUCCUGAGGAAUUUGCCCUUGGGACGCCGCGGUCCCUCUGCUACCGGGAUUUCGGUGCAGUCCGGGGAUAGGGCUCGGAGAAGAGAGCCGAGCGGGUACGCACGGCACCCAGCCGCCUUCUGGACUUGGAAAAAGGAGCUGGGGCUCAGAGGAGGCCUCUCGGGUACGCGCUUCUGAGUGCUCUAAUGGGAUAGUGCUACGUGAGAGCCGGGCACCGUCCUCCCCUCCUGCUGCAGUUCCUGAGCCACUCAGGCCUGUCAUCUUGUUAGCCGUGCUCCAGGAACACACAGCAAGCUGGGCAGAAACACCCUGACUGCAGGCAGCCUCAGGUGCGAGGCACCACACUUGUGCAACUCAAUAUGCAGGUGGUGGCAAAAGCCUUGGUGCCGAGGGUUCAGCGAGGAGGUGAGGCUGGUGCUGGAGCACACAUUCUUAGAUUGCAGGUUUGGACUUCAACAUUUCCUUCAGCAGAUGCUUGUCUCUUCCGGGAUGUGGCCUAAGGGAAUGCUGUAACCCUACACUGUCUGUACAGGCCUAGAUGGGCACACGCCAAGUUCAUCUGCAGCCCUGUGCAUCCCUCAUGAGCAAGCAGCACAUUCCUUGGUAAACCAGAGGAGCUACAACCAAAAGAAAUCCUUUUGCACAAAAUAAAUUCCAGAAGAAAUAUAUAUCCUUUGUCUCCAUGUAACUACCUUGAAAUAAUUAAGACCACGAGAGAACACAGUUAUAGCUGUGUGAUGUCCUUGCCCAUUACAAUCUUAACGAGCAUACUGCUGUGGCUAGGAGCUGUUUCCUGGUUUGGAGAAUGCUGAAGAAGAGGAAGUAAUUUCCUACCGAGGGACUGGUGCCUCACCCUCUGUGUAAGAAGUGUCUAUUCUCUUCUGCUUCUCAGUUCCCUGUCCCUAGAGCAAGAUACUAAGCCAUCAGGGCAAGAUGCUGAGCUACCAGCAUGACAUGGAUCUGAGGAAGAGAGGAAGAAAACGUUGCACAGGCCUGGAGGAGGGAAUGAAGGGUCGGUCUGCAUUACUGUUCAGUCUUUUCUGUUGUUUUCCCAGCUUCUGUUCUCUUCUCCACUUGAGGAACGUAUAUAGCCCAAGGCAAAUAAGACAGAGCAAUCACUUGUAUUUGGACUUCUCUCAAGAUUGACUGCAUGUUAUGCCUCCUGUUCUGUGAGAAGAUGUCCCGAGCCCACAGUCAGAUUUCCGUAUGAAUCAUCCAUCAUCUUAACGCAUGGCGCUCUGAUAUGCUACAGAGAUUAUGGAUGGAGCUGCUGGUAUCGAAUGAACACCAGGAACCCACAGCUAUAAACAUCACAGGUCCAGGAAGACCAAAGACCAUUAUGCUGUGGAAGAAAUGAAACAAUGUCAUAGAAACAACAGGCCUUUAUAUGAAAAGCCUGUGGUCACAAGAUGAAUAACAGAGCAUACGAUACGUGGAAUGGGAAAUGCGUCUCCUCUCACAAAACAGCAAAUCACAAAGGCAGUACUGCAGAAAUGGACAGCCUGGCCUUACCUCAACAAAUAUCCUCAAUAUGGCCGUGUUAAAAGGCUGAUUCUCUUCUCCAUCUUCAGACUAACAGCUGACAGAGUCCAGAGAAAGGGGUAAAGUCCUAGUAACACCUAAUCAGCUGGAAUAUUAGCCCUGUGAGAUUUGGGAAUAAUUGCUGAGUUACAAAUUGUGCAAGAACUCACACAAGUGGUCAUUAAGGUUGUAAAAUCCCAGUUGGAUUGCUCCAAAAAUGAAGUGUUAUAAUUAACUUCUAAUAGCCUUCACUUUCCAGUGGGAUUAAAAUCCACUCUGCCUUCAUCAUCUCCAAGGCAUGAAACCCAUUUAUAGCACAAACUGUCAAAUGGACAGAUGAGUGUGAAAUACUUCAGGACCAGACUUGGUAAGACUUGUGGGCUUGAUCACCUAUUUUUCUUCAGAGUUGUUUCUUUUUCCUGCUAGCUUUCACAUUUGUAUUCCACAGACAUGCAUUUAGCUCAGCAUCAUGUAACUAACUCUCAAAUAAUCUUUUUUGGGCAUUACAGCUUGCAUGAAAAUGUUGUCCUGUUAACAGUCAUAAAGCAGUUAGUGGAUAGUCAUCUGAAAUUGAGUCUCCAAAUUCAGCAGCCAUAGGUCACCUUAUAUGCAGUAUACAAACCGACAUUCACUAUUGUACAGUUCUUGUCUUCAGAAAUAUUUUCCUCUUGCACUGGCAAAUACACCCUUAGCUACUUUUGGAGCUAGUCUGGUUUACAGCUAGCCUUUUGAAGUGACAUAACACAUACAGCUAUCUGAAUAUCCAGCUCGGUUUAGCUACAAGCAUCAAUUCACUUCUCAAACCUACUGACAUUACUGUUUUCUGUCACUUAACGCUCUCGGUAUACAGCUAAUACAAGAUAACUACAGAAACUCAGAGCCUCCCCUGCUGAAUUCACAGAGACAAUCUAUAUUUAGGAAUGCCCAUAUCAGGAGUUUAAAAUGCAGAAUAAAUACUUUAUUUUGCAAAGUUCUCAGUACUUAUCUUAUGUGAUAUUUCUGUUAUGGUUGAAUUAAAUCAAAAAGAAAAUUCCUGGAGUUACCUGCAAUAGCAGCUUGAUUCCACCUUUACUGGUAAUGUAGAAUCACAGACUAUUAUUGCAAUAACAGGUUUUCUUUUAAUGUUUUCUGCUUGUAUUUGUUGUCUUCCUUCUUAAAGUCUCUCUUUCUACUGAGGUUCUGAAAAUACUUUUGAACUAAUUCUAGAUAGCUCAAUAAAUAAAUAA